UACGAAGGGGGCUAGCGUUGCUCGGAAUCACUGGGCGUAAAGGGUGCGUAGGCGGGUCUUUAAGUCAGGGGUGAAAUCCUGGAGCUCAACUCCAGAACUGCCUUUGAUACUGAAGAUCUUGAGUUCGGGAGAGGUGGAGGUGGUAAUUCCCAGUGUAGCGGUGAAAUGCGUAGAUAUUGGGAGGAACACCGGUGGCGAAGGCGGAUCUCUGGGCCUUACCUGACGCUGAGGCGCGAAAGCUAGGGGAGCGAACAGG
rnacentral:rRNA from 1 species